GGUCAAAAUAUAACACCGUCCGAUCCCUAGUCGGCAUAGUUUAUGGUUAAGACUACGACGGUAUCUGAUCGUCUUCGAUCCCCUAACUUUCGUUCCUGAUUAAUGAAAACAUCCUUGGCAAAUGCUUUCGCAGUAGUUAGUCUUCAAUAAAUCCAAGAAUUUCACCUCUGACAAUUGAAUACUGAUGCCCCCGACUGUCCCUAUUAAUCAUUACGGCGGUCCUAGAAACCAACAAAAUAGAACCACACGUCCUAUUCUAUUAUUCCAUGCUAAUGUAUUCGAGCAUAGGCCUGCCUGGAGCACUCUAAUUUUUUCACAGUAAAAGUCCUGUUUCCCCGCCACACCCAGUGAAGGGCAUGGGGUUCCACAGAGGGAAAGGCCCGGCCGGACCAGUACACGCGGUGAGGCGGACCGGCCAGCCAGGCCCAAGGUUCAACUACGAGCUUUUUAACCACAACAACUUUAAUAUACGCUAUUGGAGCUGGAAUUACCGCGGCUGCUGGCACCAGACUUGCCCUCCAAUUGUUCCUCGUUAAGGGAUUUAAAUUGUACUCAUUCCAAUUACAAGACCCAAAAGAGCCCUGUAUCAGUAUUUAUUGUCACUACCUCCCCGAGUCGGGAUUGGGUAAUUUGCGCGCCUGCUGCCUUCCUUGGAUGUAGUAGCCGUUUCUCAGGCUCCUUCUC
rnacentral:rRNA from 1 species